rnacentral:rRNA from 1 species
UGAGCAAUCUGCCCUUCUCUUUGGAAUAAGCGUUGGAAACGACGUCUAAUGCCGAAUACGACCUCCUUUCGCAUGAUCGGAGGUGGAAAGCUCCGGCGGAGAAGGAUGAGCUCGCGGCCUAUCAGCUAGUUGGUGUGGGUAAUGGCCCACCAAGGCGACGACGGGUAGCCGGCCUGAGAGGGUGACCGGCCACACGUGGGACUGAGACACGGCCCAGACCUCCCGUACGGGGAGNAGCG